GGAUUAGAUACCCUGGUAGUCCUUGCUGUAAACGAUGUAUACUUGGUGUAACUGGAAUCAACCCUAGUUGUGCCGGAGCUAACGCGUUAAGUAUACCGCCUGGGGAGUACAGUCGCAAGGCUGAAACUCAAAAGAAUUGACGGGGACCCGCACAAGCAGUGGAGCAUGUGGUUUAAUUCGAUGCAACGCGAAGAACCUUACCCAGGCUUGACAUGCAGUAGACCGGCUCAGAGAUGAGUCUUUCCUUCGGGACUGCUGCACAGGUGCUGCAUGGCUGUCGUCAGCUCGUGCUG
rnacentral:rRNA from 1 species